rnacentral:rRNA from 1 species
UAGGGAAUAUUGCGAAAUGGGCGAAAGCCCGAUGCAGCAACGCCGCGUGGGCGAUGAAGGCCUUCGGGUCGUAAAGCCCUUUUUGAGGGGAUGAGGAAGGACAGUACCCUCAGAAUAAGCCUCGGCUAACUACGUGCCAGCAGCCGCGGUAAAACGUAGGAGGCGAGCGUUAUCCGGAUUUACUGGGCGUAAAGCGCGUGCAGGCGGAUUGGAGAGUUGGAUGUGAAAGCUCCCGGCUUAACUGGGAGAGGUCGUUCAAUACUUCCAGUCUUGAGUGCAGUAGAGGGCAGUGUAAUUCCGGGUGUAGUGGUGAAAUGCGUAGAUAUCCGGAGGAACACCAGUGGCGAAAGCGGCUUCCUGGACUGUAACUGACGCUCAGACGCGAAAGCUAGGGUAGCAAACG